rnacentral:rRNA from 1 species
GACGAACGCUGGCGGCGUGCUUAACACAUGCAAGUCGAACGGAAAGGCCCUGCUUUUGUGGGGUGCUCGAGUGGCGAACGGGUGAGUAACACGUGAGUAACCUGCCCUUGACUUUGGGAUAACUUCAGGAAACUGGGGCUAAUACCGGAUAGGAGCUCCUGCUGCAUGGUGGGGGUUGGAAAGUUUCGGCGGUUGGGGAUGGACUCGCGGCUUAUCCGCUUGUUGGUGGGGUAGUGGCUUACCAAGGCUUUGACGGGUAGCCGGCCUGAGAGGGUGACCGGCCACAUUGGGACUGAGAUACGGCCCAGACUCCUACGGGAGGCAGCAGUGGGGAAUAUUGCACAAUGGGCGGAAGCCUGAUGCAGCAACGCCGCGUGCGGGAUGACGGCCCUCGGGUUGUAAACCGCUUUCGCCUGUGACGAAGCGUGAGUGACGGUAAUGGGUAAAGAAGCACCGGCUAACUACGUG